CCUUGAAAUACCACCCUUUAAUGUUUGAUGUUCUAACGUGGACCCGUGAUCCGGGUUGCGGACAGUGUCUGGUGGGUAGUUUGACUGGGGCGGUCUCCUCCUAAAGAGUAACGGAGGAGCACGAAGGUUGGCUAAUCCUGGUCGGACAUCAGGAGGUUAGUGCAAUGGCAUAAGCCAGCUUGACUGCGAGCGUGACGGCGCGAGCAGGUGCGAAAGCAGGUCAUAGUGAUCCGGUGGUUCUGAAUGGAAGGGCCAUCGCUCAACGGAUAAAAGGUACUCCGGGGAUAACAGGCUGAUACCGCCCAAGAGUUCAUAUCGACGGCGGUGUUUGGCACCUCGAUGUCGGCUCAUCACAUCCUGGGGCUGAAGUAGGUCCCAAGGGUAUGGCUGUUCGCCAUUUAAAGUGGUACGCGAGCUGGGUUUAGAACGUCGUGAGACAGUUC
rnacentral:rRNA from 2 species